UGAUCCGGAGUGGAUGCAGUGCCUCGGCCUCAGAGGUCGCCACGUGGCGCAGCCCGAUCGGGGGAUGGGAACCGACCCCAUCGAUCUGGGCCGUCAGGGGGGUCUAUAUAAACCCCACGAGUCUGCCCUAAAGGUCUUGUUUGGCUUCCCCUCAUUUUCGUCGUCUUUUUUCCCUUGUUUUCUCCCUCAACCGAAUUUUGCCGGCGGUGCUCGGAGCAAUUUCUGGCAANNNNNNNNNNAGUAGGUUUUCUUCCUGUUUUCACUAGAGUUUCCUCUUUUCUUCUCCUUGCCAACUUCCAUUUUCUGCUCUUAAUUUUUACUCCAUUCUUCUGUGAGAAUGAGUCUCGGUCCCGAAGAAGUUGGGUCGAAUAUGUCAGAGGAGGAACUGGAGACAAUCCGCUCCCGUUUCUUCUUCCAGCCCGGGUUUCGUCUUGAAACCGCAGGGCCGGGGGACAGGGUGACGCAGCCGUCCUCCGACGCUCAAGUCAGGGAGGGGGCAAAUCGUGUAGAGUAGAGGUAAACGGUGCGUGUCCUCAGUAUCGAUUUUCCAACCCCCUUUUAUAGACCGGGGGUCGGUUUACCUGCGAUGUAACGGGGCGAAGCCGUAGUACGGCUCGGCAUGUCGUUCAGGUCGGCGCUUGGUCAGGCGAAUAAUUGCACUGAUAUCGGCGAUGAGGGCGUUGUACAACCCGAACUAGCACGCUACCAGGCGAAUUUAUUGCAUCAAUGUCGGAGGUAUGGCCGAGAUCAGAGACUUAUCACAGUUGACUAGACUCUGCUGGGCUUAUUUGCCGUGGAGAGCUGGGAGUCCGUAGAUGACAGGAGUCACGUGCAUUAAUUGUUGAGUGAGCCGGAGAUCCACAUUUAUUGUGGAGUAAGCCGGAGAUCCGCAUUUAUUGUGGAGUAAGCCGGAGAUCCGCAUUCAUUGUGGAGUAAGCCGGAGAUCCAUAUUUAUUGUGGAGUAAGCUGGAGAUCCAUAUUUAUUGUGGAGUGUGCCGGAGGAUCACAGCGGUCAUGCGCCAUAAAUGUCAGAGAGGCGCCAUAGUACGGUCUCUGGCCGGACCUCGGAGACGUAUAGCCGUAGUAGGUAGCUGACAAAAGUAGGCCUCGGGCAUUGGGGUUUCUCUUAGGUCGGAGAUUCCGAGUUCGGGUGCCGACUUCGGCC
rnacentral:lncRNA from 1 species